rnacentral:rRNA from 1 species
AUUUAUCGGAGAGUUUGAUCCUGGCUCAGGACGAACGCUGGCGGCGUGCCUAAUACAUGCAAGUCGAGCGGACAGAUGGGAGCUUGCUCCCCGAUGUUAGCGGCGGACGGGUGAGUAACACGUGGGUA